rnacentral:rRNA from 1 species
GAUGAACGCUGGCGGCGUGCCUAAUACAUGCAAGUCGAGCGAACAGACGAGGCUCUUGCUCCUCUUAUGUUAGCGGCGGACGGGUGAGUCACACGUGGCUAACCUACCUAUAAGACUGGGAUAACUUCGGGAAACCUGAGCUAAUACCGGAUAACAUGUUGAACCUCAUGGUUCUACAGUGAACGACGUUCUUGCUGUCACUUAUAGGUGUAUCCUCGCCGCAUUAGCUAGUUGGUAAGGUAACGGCUUACCAAGGCAACGAUGCGUAGCCGACCUGAGAGGAUGAUCAGCCACACUGGAACUGAGACACGGUCCAGACUCCUACGGGAGGCAGCAGUAGGGAAUAUUCCGCAAUGGGCGAAAGCCUGACGGAGCAACGCCGCGUGAGUGAAGAAGGUCUUCGGAUCGUAAAACUCUGUUAGUAGGGAAGAACAAAUGUGUAAGUAAAUAUGCACGUCUUGACGGUACCUAAUCAGAAAGCCACGGCUAACUACGUG